rnacentral:rRNA from 1 species
UACGUAGGGCGCAAGCGUUGUCCGGAAUUAUUGGGCGUAAAGAGCUCGUAGGCGGCUUGUCACGUCGGAUGUGAAAGCCCGGGGCUUAACUCCGGGUCUGCAUUCGAUACGGGCUGGCUAGAGUGUGGUAGGGGAGAUCGGAAUUCCUGGUGUAGCGGUGAAAUGCGCAGAUAUCAGGAGGAACACCGAUGGCGAAGGCAGGUCUCUGGGCACUUACUGACGCUGAGGAGCGAAAGCGUGGGGAGCGAACAGG